rnacentral:rRNA from 12 species
GGGUAGUUUAACUGGGGCGGUUGCCUCCUAAAGUGUAACGGAGGCGCCCAAAGGUUCCCUCAGAAUGGUUGGAAAUCAUUCGCAGAGUGUAAAGGUAUAAGGGAGCUUGACUGCGAGAGCUACAACUCGAGCAGGGACGAAAGUCGGGCUUAGUGAUCCGGUGGUUCCGUAUGGAAGGGCCAUCGCUCAACGGAUAAAAGCUACCCCGGGGAUAACAGGCUUAUCUCCCCCAAGAGUUCACAUCGACGGGGAGGUUUGGCACCUCGAUGUCGGCUCAUCGCAUCCUGGGGCUGUAGUCGGUCCCAAGGGUUGGGCUGUUCGCCCAUGAAAGCGGUACGCGAGCUGGGUUUAGAACGUCGUGAGACAGUUCGGUCCCUAUCCGCUGCGCGCGUUGGAAAUUUGAGAAAGGCUGUCCUUAGUACGAGAGGACCGGGACGGACGAACCUCUGGUAUGUCAGUUGUACCGCCAGGUGCAUGGCUGAUUGGCUACGUUCGGGAGGGAUAACCGCUGAAAGCAUCUAAGCGGGAAGCCUGUUUCGAGAUGAGAUUUCCUGGCACUUUGGUGUGUGAGGCUCCUUAUAGAUGAUGAGGUUGAUAGGCCGGGUAUGGAAGCGAGGACUGAAGACUCGUGGAGUUGACUGGUACUAAUAGGCCGAAGGCUUA